GCUGGGUUAUGGCUCAGUGGUAGAGCGCUUGCCUAUCAUGUAUGAGGCGUUGGGUUUGAUUCUCAGCACAGCA
rnacentral:tRNA from 1 species